GAUGAACGCUGACAGAAUGCUUAACACAUGCAAGUCUUUCGCUAAGCUGUGCUUGUACCGCCUAGCCAAGGCGUUCGGGUCAGUAACGCGUCACGAACUUGCCCUGCAUUCAGGGAUAACAGACCGAAACGACUGAUUAGCCCUUGUCACGUCAGGCUGGCUCUUGUAUAGUCUGUUGUAAAGAGAUGCUGGAGGAGAGCCUCGCGUCCUAUUAGCUUGGUGGUGGGGUAACGGCCCACCAAGGCGAGGAUAGGUAGCCGGCGUGAGAGGGUGGACGGCCAGAAGGGGACGGAGAGACGGACCUGACACCUACGGGAGGCAGGAGUGGGGAAGAUUGGACAAUGGGGGCAACGCUGAUCCAGUAAUUCUGUGUUAAAGAUGAAGUUUUUCGGAUUGUAAAGUGCUUUAAGCAGGAAAGAAAAAAAUGACGGUACCUUACGAAGAAGCGACGGCUAAAUACGUG
rnacentral:rRNA from 1 species